ACAACUCUCUCUCAAGUGCAGCUGCACAACAAAGUUAUGACUGGUUUCCAUAUUUAGACUAAAGCAGUGGAAGGGGAAAAAAGAAAACAUUGUCAAACCACUAAGAGAACACCAAAACACAUAAACCACCUUGACAGUACGUGCAGACAACUUUUCUCAAAAUUCCCUUGUGCUUUAAAAUGUAACAUCAUAACCUAAUGAAAACAUGGCCUUCCUCCAACCCAACAAGGAAAAGAAAAUGAAAACCUUCAAUUGUUUUGAUAAAAUUAAUGGCAUUUGCAGCAUAACCUCUUUAUUCCAAAUACAUCUACCAUGAAGAAGCACAUGUAAGAAUCAACUUUAACAGUGGGGUCUAAACUAGCAUGUUAAGAAGUCAAAAUCAUUUUGGAAUGGGAACUUGUAUUAUUAAUUACAGUAUAAGAAUUGACUUUACAUCUUAUAAAUCUUUCAGAUUGUGUCUACAAUAGGUGGUUAUUUGAAAUGAAAAGAUUUCAAUUUGAGUGAGAAUUAUUUGUUUGAUAAAUUCAAUAAUAAAAAUGAGAUUCAUAAAUCAAGAUGAAUACUUCUUUGAGAAUGAAUUUGAAUUACCUUCUAAAAAGAUAAAAUUUCUAUGUAUCCCCCUAAAAUUUGGUUGAAACAUAUUUUGCUUCUCAUCAUUUAUAAUUCCAGGAUUUUAAGAAUGAAAUUUUGAAGUAACAGCUCCAAUUGGAAUUUUCUACCCAAAUGCAACCUGCAACAAUUUUAAGAUAUGUACCUACUGGUAUUCAAAUUACCUGUCAAAGACCUUAUGAGCUCAU
rnacentral:misc_RNA from 1 species